rnacentral:rRNA from 1 species
AUGAACGCUGGCGGCGUGCCUAAUACAUGCCAGUCGAGCGAACAGAUGAGGAGCUUGCUCCUCUGACGUUAGCGGCGGACGGGUGAGUAACACGUGGAUAACCUACCUAUAAGACUGGGAUAACUUCGGGAAACCGGAGCUAAUACCGGAUAAUAUAUUGAACCGCAUGGUUCAAUAGUGAAAGACGGUUUUGCUGUCACUUAUAGAUGGAUCCGCGCCGCAUUAGCUAGUUGGUAAGGUAACGGCUUACCAAGGCAACGAUGCGUAGCCGACCUGAGAGGGUGAUCGGCCACACUGGAACUGAGACACGGUCCAGACUCCUACGGGAGGCAGCAGUAGGGAAUCUUCCGCAAUGGGCGAAAGCCUGACGGAGCAACGCCGCGUGAGUGAUGAAGGUCUUCGGAUCGUAAAACUCUGUUAUUAGGGAAGAACAAAUGUGUAAGUAACUAUGCACGUCUUGACGGUACCUAAUCAGAAAGCCACGGCUAACUACGCG